GAACAGUCCCUCUCCCAUUUAACAGCAUUCAUGAGCAGAAAGUGCGGUACAUUGUAGUGGUUGAAUAAGGAGGUUGCUGACUCUGCAUCGUUGAAGAUGGCGGAAUAAGCAUUUGGAGGAAGCUGGACAUAUUGGAUUGGAACAACAUGCCAACAAUGCUGGAAUGGAGGGGUCUAGGUGGUCCUUCGUGUUUAUGGGUCCCAUCGGUUGUUCGCGAUGGCCACCUUUGAUGGUCAGUCUGGAGUGUUUCCUGCUGCAGUUGAAAGGUAAGAAGUGUAUAGUAGUUGUAAGUAGCAUUACCAAGGUGUUUCUUAGUGUUAGGUUUAGUUUGGUGUUGUAGUUUGAGUUAGUAAGUAGGCUUUAGUUGUUAGUUAGACAGCUUAGAGUUCUUUAGGAGUGUAGGUUGUUAUUGUAAUUAAGGUAUUUGUUAGUUAGUGCAUGAUUAGUGCUUGUGGUGGAUAGGUUUGCAUGAUUAACACGCUAACAAGCAGGGUUCUCCAUGAGCUGUUUUACUGUGUUGGUCCCGACACAGAAAAAUGUUCUCCGACACAGUAAUGAUUCAAAUUUUAUCUGUGUGAACAGGAAAAAUUUUGCCAACACAGUAAGAUCUGUGAUAAUAAGAAAAUCGAAACAUACAAAUUCUCUGUAUCUGAAACAUUAUUAAUCAAACAAUUCUACCGUCUUUCAAUUC